rnacentral:rRNA from 1 species
GACGAACGCUGGCGGCGUGCUUAACACAUGCAAGUCGAACGGUGAAGGGAUCAGCUUGCUGGUUCUGGAUGAGUGGCGAACGGGUGAGUAACACGUGAGUAACCUGCCCCCUUCUUCUGGAUAACCGCAUGAAAGUGUGGCUAAUACGGGAUAUUCUGCGCCUGCUGCAUGGUGGGUGUGGGAAAGAUAUUGUUUCGGUGGGGGAUGGGCUUGCGGCCUAUCAGCUUGUUGGUGGGGUGAUGGCCUACCAAGGCGGUGACGGGUAGCCGGCCUGAGAGGGUGGACGGUCACACUGGGACUGAGACACGGCCCAGACUCCUACGGGAGGCAGCAGUGGGGAAUAUUGCACAAUGGGCGCAAGCCUGAUGCAGCGACGCCGCGUGAGGGAUGGAGGCCUUCGGGUUGUGAACCUCUUUCGCCAGUGAAGCAGGCCUGUCCCUUGUGGGUGGGUUGACGGUAGCUGGAUAAGAAGCGCCGGCUAACUACGUG